rnacentral:tRNA from 1 species
GGGCCCGUAGCUCAGCCUGGUAAGAGCACUCGGCUGAUAACCGAGGGGUCGUGGGUUCAAAUCCCACCGGGCCCACCA